rnacentral:misc_RNA from 1 species
CCUGCACUUGUUGGGGAAUGGGCUAGCCUUAAAAGUAUCAGCUGACCUUGAUAAUCUACUCGGCGUAUUAAUGAUACAUGAACCGCAGAGGACAUUACAAUCUUAGGUCGCUUUCUAAUCUGGUAUUGGUGGUUCUUAGGAAUUCAUCAUCCAUCUUCAGAUUUGACCUCGAAUCAGGUGGGACUACCCGCUGAACUUAA